CUCGUACUGUGCCGUACGUGUCUUUUGCCGCUGAAACUCGGGACUUCCCCUCUUAUGGUUAAAACUUUAAAAAAAACAGAAACCUUGAAUUUGUAGCAAACGAAGAGUUGAUAGCUUUGAGGAUGUCGUUUUGCUAUCCAUCUUCACAAAGAAAACUGGCAAUGACGGUGGCAUUUUUUGCCUCAGGGGCUGCUCUUUUCGCCAUUGGAAUCCAUUUUUCGUAU